rnacentral:tRNA from 1 species
AAGGUUUUAAGUUAAAUCAAACUGUUAGCCUUCAAAGUUAAAUAUAAAUAAUUUUUAAGCCUUA